rnacentral:lncRNA from 1 species
CUUACAUCUCACUGGCCAGAACUGUGUCCUAUAACCACUCCUGGGAAAUCAAGUUUUUGGCUGCACAUGCUAUUGCCUUGAGCAAAACAGAAGUUCUGAUGGUAAGAAAAACAGGAAUAAUGGAUAUUAGCUAUCCAGGAAAAACUUGUGAGAAAUUUUGUUAGGAUGUUUCAGCUGCAAGUAACAACAAACCUUAACUCAAUUGGUUUCAACCAUAGAGGAAUGCACUACUUCCCAUAACAAGAAGUUCUACAUUGGGACCACACCACUCCAGGAUUGAUUCAUUCAAUGGCUCAUAAAUCUGCCAUCCUCAGGACCCAGUGAUGUCCAAGGACUGAAAAGGAUUGUGUGUCUCUACUUAUUAGCUUGAGAAACCUUGCCAGAGGUCCUUGGACGCUUUCUACCUAUUUGCCCAAAUUAGAUAUAUCCCUGGCAAGGUGAAUGAGUGCCUUAGAUCAGUCCCAAUUCCCUUCUGUAGGCCUGAAGCUAGAGAGACUUAGCAGGAAGAUGGAACUUACCCAAAAGUAGAGCUCUGCCAGCAUGGGAAAAAGGAAAAGUGCCUGCAACAGGAAAAACAACAAAGAGAGAGAGGUGGAGAGGAACACGCCAAAGAAAGAGAGAGAGCCCACACUAUCCUAAGCUCCUGAAUGCACUGUGACAUCCAGGUGUCCUGGGGAAGACAUAAACACAUCAUACAGCACCCACAGGAACUUCAAGAGACUGGAGUUAAUAAAGAGAUUAAAGAGAUUAACAGGGGCUCAAUUCUUUUUCUUUCUUUCUUUCUUUUUUUUAGGGGGGAGGGUGGGGGGUUGGGGGUCUGAGUCUCACUCUGUCGCCCAGGCUGGAGUGCAGUGGCACGAUCUUGGCUCACUGCAACCUCCACCUCCCUGGUUCAAGUAAUUCCCCUGCCUCAGCCUCCCGAGUAGCUGGGAUUACAGGCGCAUGCCACCAGGCCUGGCCAAUUUUUUUGUAUUUUUUUUUGGUAGAGACGGAGUUUCACCAUGUUGGCCAGACUAGUCUCGAACUCCUGACCUCAGGCAAUCAGCCCACCUCAGCCUUCCAAAGUACUGGGAUUACAGGCGUGAGCCACUGCACCCAGCCCUCAAUUCUUAUAUUCGAGUGCAUGAACUUUUAUGUUAGAGUCAGUAAUAAUCUGGCCUGAUGAAGUACCUUUCCAAAUAAUUGGUAUAAAAUCUGUCCCAAGAGUAUAGUCCAUUCUCUUUACAAUAUUUGCUCAUUGAACAAUUGGAGAAAUUGUUUCUAUGUUUGAUCUCAAUCAUAGCAAAGUAAGCAAGGAUGGAUCUCUAUGGACAACCUGCUUUUAUGCAAAGCAGCCUUCUUAUGAAGAAAUGGGGGCUGGGUGUGGUGGCUCAUACCUGCAAUCCCAGCACAUUGGGAGGCCAAGGCAGGAGGAUCACUUGAGUCCAGAAGUUUGAGACCAGCCUGGGCAACAUAGGGAGACCUCGUCUCUAGAAAACAUUUAAAAAUUAGAUGGGCAUGGUGGCAUGCACUUGUGGUCUCAGCUACUCAGGAGGCUGAGGGGGAGGAAUGCUUGAGCCCAGGAGGUUGAGGCUGCAGUGAGCUGUGAUCAUGCCACUGCAUUCCAGACUGGGAAACAGAGUGAGACUUUAUUUCAAAUAAAUAAAUAAAUAAAAAAGAAAUGGAAUAUUAUUUGUCUGAAGUGAUUGGAAUUUAAUUAAAUUAUUUUGUAGGUCACUUUUGAAGUUUUUUUUUCCAUAAGGUCUUUAAAAACUUGAGGCAAUUAAAGCAGGCAACCUUAAAGGCUGCCAAGAAGCCUCUUUAAAACAGGUUGAGCUGGUUUUUCUCUAGCUUUUUAAACUAAGCAUGUUAAACCGUUAAAGCUAACCACAAAGAUUGUUGCUAAUUUAUUACAUGUUUUCAAGAUGAAAAGAAAUGUGGUCUCAGCCAGUUAUCUGGGGAUAAUCCAAGUUUGCAUCUAGCCUUGCUAUGUAUUUUUUUUCUUUGUACCUGUCUUUUGGUUACCAUGACAACUGAGAGGUCAUAGGGGAGAAAAGAUGUUUUGACUGCUGGAUUGAGGGCAGGAGGAAGAUUUGGGAGGGUUUAGAAACAUGAAGUGGCUGACUAGAUUCAGGUCAGGGAACAAUGAGAGCCAGGGGCUAUGUGGAUGUCUUUAUGCUGAGCAUUUCAUGCUAGCUGUAGAGAAGACAGGCCUGAUGCUAAGAAAUAGAUCACAAUGCAGAGUACACGAGUAAGGCUGGAGAACCCAAAGGCCAGUGGGGCAGAAAAGUUUUGUGUAAACACAGUGUCCCCCACUCUCACCCACUACAGAUUCUGUGCCGCUGUCCACAGAGUAUGAGUGCUGGAUCCAACCAGUCCAUCAGCCAGGCAUGGACUGGUGACCAACCCAUAUGUUCACCAGCCCCACUCCCUAUUGUCAGGGUGUCUUGAGUAGAAGAACACAACCACUUCAACAGGUGGCCUUAAUAGGUCCUGUCUGAAGGGCAGAAGCUAGCCGACUCCCCAGCUCAUGGAGCAGCCAAGGGGUAUUGGGAUACACAGUCUCCUAUGGUGACCCUGGGGAUAGAUACUGACAAUUGGCAAGCCAAAACUAACUUAGAAAAGGGCUGUUGUUGCCCAAGUUGGAACUGGCCAAAUUUGAAACAUGCUAGUAGUGACUGGGCCUUACACAGGAUGCCCUUCUAAGCAGUCUGUUGUGUCCAAUUCUGCUCUGGGAACAGCCACAUUCUGCCUUAGGAUCCAGCUGCCAGCCAUAAGCGGAAUUUUAGAACUGAUUCUGGUUUCUACCCAACACAGAUGCAGAACUACUCCCUCAUAUUUUUUUUUACUUUUUGAAUUUUAAAAAAUAUUUUCGUAUUUUAAAAAUAUGUUUUUAUGUGUUACUUUUUAUCUGUUGUAAUACUGACUUGAAGUAGGGAUAGGGCAACGUACUUGUCCCCCCACAUAAGAAUUGGAAAAUUUUACUGCUUAAAAUGGAUGAUGACUCAUUUGACCCUCAGGAACUGUUUCCUAAUGAAUCACUGACUUGAAUUAUGUCAUUUAUUUAUUCUGUCUCUCCUUUUGUGUUAGUUCCCUGGCCUCAUGUUGGUGAAAAGGGAGUUUGGUGAUGUGUAACCUUUAAAAAGUGCAUUUAUUACACAUUUCCCAGCACCAUGUAAUUUGAGCAUUGUGAUUCUGGCUUUUUAUUAUGUCUCUUUUGUGCUUAAUUUCAGUUUUUUUUUAUUCCUGAAUGUUCUGCAAUCUCUCUUUACUAAAUGCUUGAAUUACAAGUAUACGCAAAAAAAGCUGGCUUUUAUGACUUGCUAAGACAAGGAUGUUGUGUUCCGGAUUUAUAAUUAUAGCACUGGGGGAAAAUAUUUUAUUUCAAAAAGACUAAAUUAGUUCUACUUCAAAAGAGUUUCAGUUAAUUAAAUGUAGGAUGGUGAAAAGCCUAAAGGGUAGUCCUUGGAUCCUAUAGUACUUUUAUUUAACUAUUAAUUAGAUAUAUUUUCUUGUGCUCAUGGCCUUACCUAUUAAUACUUAGUUUUUAAAUAGUCAAACAAAAAUGGAUGUGCAUGUUGGGCUGCCUUUAUCGUGUUUCAUUGUUUCCUUUAGCUACAUUAUAGGCUAUUUAAAGUAAUUUCAUAUUUGCUGACACAGUAUUGAUCAUUCACAUUUAUGGCACAGUUCAUACACAAAUAUUUUGCAUCUUGGAGUAGCAACCUGGUCAUCUGUUCUCCUGCCCCCUCCCCUGCAAACUAUCUCCUUUCUCUCAUAACAGCUCUACUGGUUACAUAUUUCACAUGCUGUCUUUGAUAAAAAUUCAUUCAUUUACUUCCUAAACAUCUGAUAUGUCCAAGGCACAAUUGAAUUUAUUGAAAGAAAUGUAAAAAAUAACAUUACAUGAUAUUAUGUUUUCUAAUUUAAAAAAUGUUUAAUAGAUAGGGUCUUGCUCUGUUGCCCAGGCUGGAGUGCAGUGGUUCUAUCCUAGCUCACUGCAGUCUUGGACUCCUGAGCUCAAGUGAUCCUCCCACUUUAGCCUCCCAAAGUGCUGGAUUACAGGUGUAAGCCACUGUGCCCAGCCUUAAAGAAACUAUUUUUUACAAUGUAUGGUAGGUGGGAAGUAGUCAGGGAGGAGGUAGGAUUCAUUUGAGAUGAACCUAGAUGGGCAGGAUAUUGCCAGAAAAUUGAGACGGAAGGGAUUCUGUAUACAGAGAUGUGAUGUAGGUAGUUUAUCCUUGUUUCUCCCACCUUAUCCUCUCUUCAUUCAAAGCUUAUUCCUACCACAUCUCCUUAUUCUCUACCUGAAUGAAUAUAAGUUUCAUAAGGGUAGGGGUCUUUAAUCUAUGUUGUUCACUGAUGCAUACUCAGGACCAGUAAUGCCUGGCACAUGGUUGAUGCUUAAGUAUUUUGAGUUGUUGAAUUAAUAAACAUGUGAAUGAAAUGAUAAUUACCUGUAAGGUUUGGGGUCUCUAGCCUUCUAAAAUGUCAGUUAGCUCAUUAUUUCCCCUCAAACCUUAGCCAAUACAAUUUAUUAUCAAAUUUAAAAUUGUUUUAAUUUUAAUUCAUAUUUUAAAAAUUGUAGAUGAUGUUGCACACCAUACUAUAUGUCUUUCAGCCAUGCUUUUAGUUUUUUAUUGUUACUAACUUUCUGUUCAUGUCUUUCCCCAUUUUUAUGUUAGUAAUUUGUCUCACUGAUUUGUAAGUCCUCUUUAAAUAUUAAGGAAAUCAACUUUUGUCUGUCUUAUAUAUAGCAAAUAUUAUUUCCAGUUUGUUAUUUAUACUUUGACUUCGUUUAUUUUAUUACUUACUGUGUGUUAUUUUUAAUUUUUAUGAAGUCGUCUAUAUAAAUAUUUUAUUUUACUUUUUGAGUUUCUCCUUGAUUAUUUAAGAAUGAU